rnacentral:rRNA from 1 species
UACGGAGGGUGCAAGCGUUAUCCGGAUCCACUGGGUUUAAAGGGUGCGUAGGUGGGCAAGUAAGUCAGUGGUGAAAUCUCCGGGCUUAACCCGGAAACUGCCAUUGAUACUAUUUGUCUUGAAUACUGUGGAGGUCAGCGGAAUAUGUCAUGUAGCGGUGAAAUGCUUAGAUAUGACAUAGAACACCAAUUGCGAAGGCAGCUGGCUACACAAAUAUUGACACUGAGGCACGAAAGCGUGGGGAUCAAACAGG